rnacentral:rRNA from 1 species
AGCAGCCGCGGUAAUUCCAGCUCCAAUAGCGUAUAUUAAAGUUGCUGCAGUUAAAAAGCUCGUAGUUGAAUUUCGGGAUCGAUAUAUCGGUCGUGCCUCGGUACGUACUGGUAUUUUCGGUUUCUACCUUCUGACGAACCUUGAUGUCAUUAAUUUGGUGUCUUGGGGAAUCAGGACUGUUACUUUGAAAAAAUUAGAGUGUUUAAAGCAGGCUCACGCUUGAAUACAUUAGCAUGGAAUAAUGAAAUAGGACGUUUGAUUCUAUUUUGUUGGUUUCUAGGAUCGACGUAAUGGUUAAUAGGGAUAGUUGGGGGCAUUAGUAUUCAAUUGUCAGAGGUGAAAUUCUUGGAUUUAUUGAAGACUAACUACUGCGAAAGCAUUUGCCAAGGAUGUUUUCAUUAAUCAAGAACGAAAGUUAGGGGAUCGAAGACGAUCAGAUACCGUCGUAGU